rnacentral:rRNA from 1 species
AUUGAACGCUGGCGGCAGGCCUAACACAUGCAAGUCGAACGAGUGGCGGACGGGUGAGUAAUUUCUGGGAAACUGCCUGAUGGAGGGGGAUAACUACUGGAAACGGUAGCUAAUACCGCAUACCACCAGAUGUGUCCAGAUGGGAUUAGCUAGUCGGUGGGGUAACGGCUCACCAGGGCGACGAUCCCUAGCUGGUCUGAGAGGAAAACCAGCCGCACGGGAGCUAAGACACAGGCCAGACUCAUACAGGGGACAGCAGUGGGGAAUAGUACACGAUGGGCGCAAGCCUGAUGCAGCCAUGCCGCGUGUAUGAAGAAGGCCAUCGGGUUGUAAAGUACUUUCAGCGGGGAGGCGUUACCCGAAGAAGAAGCGCCGGCUAACUCCGUGCCAGCAGCCGCGGUAAUAC